GCCUAAUACAUGCAAGUCGAGCGGAAAUUUUAUUGGUGCUUGCACCUUUAAAAUUUUAGCGGCGGACGGGUGAGUAACACGUGGGUAACCUACCUUAUAGAUUGGGAUAACUCCGGGAAACCGGGGCUAAUACCGAAUAAUACUUUUUAACACAUGUUUUGAAGUUGAAAGACGGCAUCUCGCUGUUACUAUAAGAUGGACCCGCGGCGCAUUAGCUAGUUGGUGAGGUAACGGCUCACCAAGGCAACGAUGCGUAGCCGACCUGAGAGGGUGAUCGGCCACACUGGGACUGAGACACGGCCCAGACUCCUACGGGAGGCAGCAGUAGGGAAUCUUCCACAAUGGACGAAAGUCUGAUGGAGCAACGCCGCGUGAGUGAAGAAGGAUUUCGGUUCGUAAAACUCUGUUGCAAGGGAAGAACAAGUAGCGUAGUAACUGGCGCUACCUUGACGGUACCUUGUUAGAAAGCCACGGCUAACUACGUGCCAGCAGCCGCGGUAAUACGUAGGUGGCAAGCGUUGUCCGGAAUUAUUGGGCGUAAAGCGCGCGCAGGUGGUUCCUUAAGUCUGAUGUGAAAGCCCCCGGCUCAACCGGGGAGGGUCAUUGGAAACUGGGGAACUUGAGUGCAGAAGAGGAUAGUGGAAUUCCAAGUGUAGCGGUGAAAUGCGUAGAGAUUUGGAGGAACACCAGUGGCGAAGGCGACUGUCUGGUCUGUAACUGACACUGAGGCGCGAAAGCGUGGGGGGCAAACAGGAUUAGAUACCCUGGUAGUCCACGCCGUAAACGAUGAGUGCUAAGUGUUGGGGGGUUUCCGCCCCUCAGUGCUGCAGCUAACGCAUUAAGCACUCCGCCUGGGGAGUACGGUCGCAAGACUGAAACUCA
rnacentral:rRNA from 1 species